UGCUGGUUUGUGCAUCGUCUGCAGCAGCACUGAGUAGAUUUACUGUGGUAGCUGCUCUCUGGGCUUCACUGGUGAACCGUGUGUGUCUGAGCACAGCAUUCCCUUUCAAGCCAAGAGAUGUACGUCCAGCACUGUGAAAUCCAAGCAGAUCUGCUCUGGAAACAGCCCUUGCAACAGCCAGCCCGCAAUCAGAGAACACUCCUAUCAUAAAGACAGCCGAGAAAGGCAAUUAAGCAAAGCAACUAGAAAGGCAAAUUCCCCACUUUAAUACUGCUAGAAAUGAUGAUGAUAAUUAGCGUAUGCUUUCAAAAUUUACCCUGAGCAUGACAAAAGAAGAACAGGUCUAUAUACUUUGUCAUGAAGAUGAGCUAAUGCAAAAGAAUGAAUGGAUGAAUGUCGGGGUACCUUGUAAAGUGGAAUGUCUUGAACAGAUUUUGUUGAUAGAGAGAAUGAUGUGUGAUUGCGCUAACCAUUCACACAGGAGGCAUUAAGCUUGUCUCGAACUGCUGGUAUCACACGCCAUUACUCAGAAGCAUUAGACAUAACAAAACAUCACAUAUAAGAAAUGCAAUCUGAACUACAACGCAGCAAUAACAUUCUACAUUCCUGGGAGCUUUGCUGCAGGAUACCUGGAAGAAUGAAAGACAAAUGCUUUGUACUCUGGGUCAAAGGUGAACAAACCUAUCCUCAUGUUCUCUGCCCCUCUAUCAAGCCAUGAUUCCUGGAUAUCCCUACUCCUACCACACUGACUGAGGAACUGAUCAACCACCUAUUUAUGAAAGUCAAAUCCUCUUUCGUUUCUUACCCAAUAUGGCAUGGAUAAGAUGGCCAACAAGACAUCAAAGCAAAUCUCAAUUUUGACCCAUUUGGACAUGCGGCAGCGUAGCUGAUAUGUGGGACACUCCUACAGCUCCACUUGUGAACGCCCCAGAAGCACAAGAACAAAUUAUUGUUUUUCAUCACAGGAACAGCUAUUUUUCAAAAAAUCUAAUUCUAGAAAAUCCCCUGUUUUAUAUACUUCAAAUAAAAUAAAAUUGUUUUUUGUGUCCCUUAGUGUUGCACAUUACAAUGAAUUGCUUAUAUUAGAUACCAAUUUUUAUCUUAAAGUGAUAGUUAUGCAGGCAUUAAAGGAAUAUAAACAGUCUGUUUGAUAAUUGCAAUAAAAAAGCACUAAUCGGUGGCUUAUAUUUUUUAGAAAUCAUCACAAUAUGCAUUAUUUGUAAUUUUAAAAGGAUUUCACCUUAAUUUGUGCAUGGUCUAUACCUUCCCGUCACUGUCCUACAAGGUGGCUGGGGUUUCUAAAAGAGGAUAUAUAGUUUGAGGGCAUACAUCUUCUAGAGCAACUUGAGCUGGUAAGUUUUUUUAGUUAUAUUUCUUACCCAUGCUCAGAAGAGGCAGAAUGCAGCUUAAGUUCUCAGCAUCUCUGCUUCCUUAUGUCACUAUACACAGCGGCUGCACUGAUGAUUUGUAAGUGCUCAUUUUGCAAGAAAACAAGUUUUUUUGUUAGUUUUUGUAAUUAAAGGAGCACUGUUUCAUAUACUUCUAAGUAGUUCUAAAUAAAUUUCUCACACUCACCUAAGGACUCCAUAUAAAUGGAUAGUGACGUAUACAGCCCAAAUAAAGAAUUUGUUAUGUUGUAUAAUUGCUUUAUACUAUUAGUAACUAAUAAGCAUUUGUUUUAUCAAAAAUCUCACUCUUUGUAACAGUUUUAUGAAUUAUAAUAACAAUGAUUAAAAGGACAUUAAACACUAAAUAAAUGCUAGAUAGAAUGAUGCAUUCAAAGUAUAGAUUAGUCUGUAAAAAAUAUAUCUAUUUCUACAUGUUAAAGUGUAAAGUUUGAGUGUCUAUAAAGCAAUGGGAGCUGCCAUGUUGUAACUUAGGUUACCAUCUCUGCUGCGGUCAAUUAGGUACAGUCAGCCAAUGGCUGUUGUAGAACAUAACAGUGUUCUGCACUUCCUUUUCUAACAGCAAAUAAAAAGAUCACAAUUUCAGAAUGGAAUUACAGGAAAAGGGGACAAAAUAAAUAAUUAAAGUAUA